rnacentral:misc_RNA from 1 species
GAAAUGCGAUAAGUAAUGUGAAUUGCAGAAUUCAGUGAAUCAUCGAAUCUUUGAACGCACAUUGCCCUCGCCAGUAUUCUGGCGAGCAUGCCUGUUCGAGCGUCAUUUCAACCAUCAAGCUCUGCUUGCGUUGGGGAUCCGCGGCUGCCCGCGGUCCCUCAAAAACAGUGGCGGGCUCGCUAGUCACACCGAGCGUAGUAACUCUACAUCGCUAUGGUCGUGCGGCGGGUUCUUGCCGUAAAACCCCCAAUUUCUAAGGUUGACCUCGGAUCAGGUAGGAAUACCCGCUGAACUUAAGC